rnacentral:rRNA from 1 species
CCUACGGGAGACAGCAGUGAGGAAUAUUGGUCAAUGGGCGGAAGCCUGAACCAGCCAAGUAGCGUGCGGGAUGAAUGCCCUACGGGUCGUAAACCGCUUUUGCACGGGGAUAACACCCUCCACUUGUGGAGGUCUGCAGGUACCGUGCGAAUAAGGGCCGGCUAAUUCCGUGCCAGCAGCCGCGGUAAUACGGAAGGCGCGAGCGUUAUCCGGAUUCAUUGGGCUUAAAGGGUGCGUAGGCGGGAGUUAAAGUCAGCGGUAAAAUCGCGCGGCUUAACCGCGCUCCGCAGUUGAAACUGGACGGCUUGAGAACAGACGAGGCAGGCGGAAUUCGUGGUGUAGCGGUGAAAUGCAUAGAUAUAACGAGGAACCCCGAUUGCGAAGGCAGCCUGCCGGGGUGCGACUGACGCUGAGGCUCGAAGGUGCGGGUAUCAAACAGGAUUAGAUACCCCGGUAGUC